UAAUUCAAAAUAAAUACCUACUAAUAAUUAUUAUGAAUAGAGCACGGAUGUUGUAGUAGAAAAAAACUAGUAAAAUUGAUUGCAGUAUUGCACUAAAAAUAUUUAAAAUGACAAUUUCUGUACAACAGUGGAAAUAAUUGGCUAAUUUUCGGCAUAUUUAUAAAACAGGAACAAAAUGAUCUCUCAAAAUUCACAAGCUGACUGAAGAAUAGAUUAUCACAGUCAAACCGUCACAUUUCACAAAUUAUUUUUGUAUUGUAUUGAAUGUCUACCAACUUGAAAUUAUCAAAAUAAAAGUAAGAUACCAUUAUUAGAUUUUAUGGCUGACGAUAUUAUAGUAUAAUCUUAUUUAUACGACUGUCGAGUAUUCACACUAGCUAAAAUAGUUGUAUAAAUAAGUAAAUUGAACAAAAUUGCAAUAAAAUUGAAAAAAUUCCAAAAAUUGCACUUAAAACUUCUAGAUUUGAAUUCGUACUUAUAUACAACGUAUUAAAAACUUACUUAACGAUAAAUUGAAAAAGUAGAAAAAAAUUUACAAGUACAUCAACAUCCGUGCCCUAACUAUGAGGUAAGGAAAAAUCAUGAAUUUGUUAAUUUUGUUAAAUAACGCAAUCGCGUUGCUAUUUUCUUCGAUACGAAAUAUGUAAAAAUUGUGUUAUCUUCUAAGUCCCCGACAACAAACCCGUACACCAAUGAUAACUUUUCCAUUCCAAGACCUGUGCAGAACACCAAUAACAUGACUUUAUUAUAUUCCUACUCUCCCCCCC